AGGUAUCCCAGAUGUAGGCCUGCGUAGGCAAGCCCACAUGCAGUGCUUUGGUGCUCCAUAUCAACUACUCAAGGCGUUCGAGAAGAUCAUGCUGCCAAAGAAGUACGGUUCAACUGAAGGGGCAAACACUGGAGCCUCGCCAACACCCACUCGCUGCUACAACUGCAACUCUUUGGGCCACGUGGCAGGGGAGUGCCGCAAGCCCAAGCGCGAAAGAGGAGCGUGAUACGGAUGCGGCAGCAUGAGUUACCAGGUGUCACACUGUGACGAAAAGAAGAACAAGAUUGCCUCAUCGACUCAGGGAGCCCAAUAAGUUUUAUAAAGUUAUCAUGUCUAGAGCACCAGUCGGAAAAUAAACUAAAUAAAGCGGAAGAGCGCUCACGAUUAAGUUCAAAUGAAAUCAAAGAAGAUGAUUUAAGUUUAUAUAAGUUUAACAAAGACAAGAAAAACAGAGAAAUUGAAUUUAUUUUGAAUAAAAAUGCGGAUUACGCUUAUGUUGGACUAAA